AGAUCCAAUAACGUAUAUUAAAAAUGUUGCGGUUAAAAAGCUCGUAAUUGGAUUUCUGCCGAGGACGACCGGUCCGCCCUGUGGGUGAACAUCUGGAUCGGCCUGGGCAUCUUCUUGGGGAACGUAACUGCACUUGAUUGUGUGGUGCGGUUUCCAAAACUUUUAUUUUGAGGAAAUUAGAAUGUUUCAAACAGGCGCACGUUUUGAAUACAUUAGCAUGGAUUAAUAAGAUAAAACCUCGGGUUUAUUUUGUUGGUUUCAAAAACUGAAGUAAUGAUUAAUAAGGAUACUUGGGGGCAUUCGUAUUUAAUUGUCAGAAAUGAAAUUCUUGGAUUUGUUAAAAACGGAUUAUUGCGAAAGCAUUUGCCAAGGAUGUCGUCA
rnacentral:rRNA from 1 species